AGACCUGGAUUCACGUCAAUGUUAUUCAUUAUAUAAGCCACCUCAAGCUGAAAAUAGAAACACAGGUUAAUCUGCGGUUGUAGAACCUCAGGCCCUCUGGCCGGAAUUGUUCAUCGAUUCAGGCGUGUUUACGAACAAAAACUAGUCCUUUCUUGUUCAGUUGGCGAUAUCAUCUGAACACAUACAUAAAGGUUUUGCAUUAGUAAAAUGGCAGAACCUGAUCGAGUACCGGACAACGAAGUUGGUCAGGUGCGGCAAGAAACAGAAGAGAGAGAGGAUGAAGGACAUACAACAUCUGAAUUGCCAGACACACAGGCCACAGCUGAGUUGAACCUCCUCAUUGUGUUUCUUUCGUUAUCUUCCUCUAGAAAUUCAGAAGAAAGCUUAGAGUUUGCAAAGAAAGAACAAGAAAGACAGAAAAGUGAAGCUAAAGCUAAGAUCAAGAGACUACAAAAACGGAUAGACGAGGCCAAGCCAGUUCGGAGACUAACAACUCAAAAGUUCAAAACAACAGUAAUCGAUUCGAGGCAUGGCCGAAAAAUGUGAAGAAAAAUGGCAUUCAAGGAGGAAAUGGAUUGCAGGAUUGCAAAAGUUGUUAUACGGAAGUUUCAAAUUUCUCUACACUUUUGACAGUUGAUGCUACGGCUAAGAGCAGCCUCUCUCAUGAUCCUGGGAUUGUCUCAGGCUUCAAGUGCUUUCAUGGAUGAUGUUUGAGGAGUUAUGAUCGAGGAGCAGAAGAUCGAAAAUUAGCCUCCAGAUGGCUAGUUUUUCUUGGUGUUGCUUUUUGCUUUAGGCCCAGACCCUUUGGGCCUCGCUGUAACCCAAAAAUACACUUUCAUAUACAAUUUUUCUCGUUUCACUGUAUUAGUGAUAAUCAGUCAAAGAAGGCAAACACAUGUACAGCCUUAAAAUCCUCUCAAAUAAAUACUAUAAUUA